rnacentral:rRNA from 1 species
AUUGAACGCUGGCGGCAUGCCUUACACAUGCAAGUCGAACGGCAGCACGGGAGCUUGCUCCUGGUGGCGAGUGGCGAACGGGUGAGUAAUGCAUCGGAACGUGCCCUGAAGUGGGGGAUAACGUAGCGAAAGUUACGCUAAUACCGCAUAUUCUGUGAGCAGGAAAGCAGGGGAUCUUCGGACCUUGCGCUUUUUGGAGCGGCCGAUGUCGGAUUAGCUAGUUGGUGGGGUAAAGGCCCACCAAGGCGACGAUCCGUAGCGGGUCUGAGAGGAUGAUCCGCCACACUGGAACUGAGACACGGUCCAGACUCCUACGGGAGGCAGCAGUGGGGAAUUUUGGACAACGGGCGCAAGCCUGAUCCAGCCAUGCCGCGUGAGUGAAGAAGGCCUUC